rnacentral:rRNA from 1 species
AGUGAACGCUGCGGUAGGCCUAACACAUGCAAGUCGAACGGCAGCACAGUAAGAGCUUGCUCUUCCGGGUGGCGAGUGGCGGACGGGUGAGGAAUACAUCGGAAUCUACUUUUUCGUGGGGGAUAACGUAGGGAAACUUACGCUAAUACCGCAUACGACCUACGGGUGAAAGCAGGGGAUCUUCGGACCUUGCGCGAUUGAAUGAGCCGAUGUCGGAUUAGCUAGUUGGCGGGGUAAAGGCCCACCAAGGCGACGAUCCGUAGCUGGCCUGAGAGGAUGAUCAGCCACACUGGAACUGAGACACGGUCCAGACUCCUACGGGAGGCAGCAGUGGGGAAUAUUGGACAAUGGGCGCAAGCCUGAUCCAGCCAUACCGCGUGGGUGAAGAAGGCCUUCGGGUUGUAAAGCCCUUUUGUUGGGAAAGAAAAGCAGCAGGUUAAUACCCCGCUGUUCUGACGGUACCCAAAGAAUAAGCACCGGCUAACUUCGUG